rnacentral:lncRNA from 1 species
CUGCUGGACUCCCUGCCUGCCUCGAGGAAGGCAGCAGAGCCCUACCAUCUUUAUUCCUGAUAGAGUAGACUACUUCCAGGCUGCACAAGCUGAAUGCAUAAUAGCUAUGCGUUUAUGGCUGUAAUUGCUGAUAUCGGAUGGGCUGACUCAUGCACGUUUGAAUUCUUACUGCAGAAGGAACUAUUCUAUCUGCAUGCAUAUUGAAGAAAAGGAAUCAAAACACCAUUUCAAGGCUUUAAGGUGGACUGCUUCGAAUUAGGUUUCAUCUGAAGUCGGUGGUUGUAUGUGGAGAACUGUCAACAGUCCCAAACCCAAAAAACAAGAGCAGACAGAACUCCUACUCUUCUUCCUGAAAAAACAACAACAAGAACAAAUGAGCAACAUUAUGAGGUCUUAAAGUGCAUGGAAGAUGGCUGUGAAGAUUACAUGUUUGAGCGAGGUGGCCUUUGCACCCUUCUUUGCAGGCAUGCACCAGAGUACCUAGAAGGCAGUCAAGCCCAUCAGAAGAAAAUUACCUGCUUCAGAGAAACAGAUAGAAAAGUAAUGACAGCAUUGAGAAAC